AAGCGUUAUCCGGAUUCACUGGGUUUAAAGGGUGCGUAGGUGGGCAAGUAAGUCAGUGGUGAAAUCUCCGGGCUUAACCCGGAAACUGCCAUUGAUACUAUUUGUCUUGAAUACUGUGGAGGUCAGCGGAAUAUGUCAUGUAGCGGUGAAAUGCUUAGAUAUGACAUAGAACACCAAUUGCGAAGGCAGCUGGCUACACAAAUAUUGACACUGAGGCACGAAAGCGUGGGGAUCAAACAGGAUUAGAUACCCUGGUAGUCCACGCCCUAAACUAUGGAUACUCGACAUUUGCGAUAAACUGCAAGUGUCUGAGCGAAAGCAUUAAGUAUCCCACCUGGGAAGUACGAUCGCAAGAUUG
rnacentral:rRNA from 1 species